UUUGGUAAAGUUCUUCUGAAUAUAUGUGUUACAAACAUGAGGGUUUAUUUUUUUUUAUAAAUACCAAAA
rnacentral:tRNA from 1 species